CGGAACGGGUGAGUAAUGAAUCGCUAACGUACCCCGGACACCGGAUAGCCAUCCGAAAGGGUGGGUAAUACCGGAUGAUAUAGGGCCCCCGCAUGGGGGCGAUCUCAAAGGUCCGCCGGAAACGGCGGAUGGUCUGGGAGCGGGCGAUUUCGUAUCAGCUAGUUGGUAGGGUAACGGCCUACCAAGGCAUCGACGCGUAGCCGGACUGAGAGGUUGGCCGGCCACAUUGGGACUGAGACACUGCCCAG
rnacentral:rRNA from 1 species